AGCGAACGCUGGCGGCAGGCUUAACACAUGCAAGUCGAGCGGGCACUUUCGGGUGUCAGCGGCGGACGGGUGAGUAACGCGUGGGAACGUGCCCUCUGGUUCGGAAUAACUCAGGGAAACUUGAGCUAAUACCGGAUACGCCCUUUUGGGGAAAGGCUUGCUGCCGGAGGAUCGGCCCGCGUCUGAUUAGCUAGUUGGUGAGGUAACGGCUCACCAAGGCGACGAUCAGUAGCUGGUCUGAGAGGAUGAUCAGCCACACUGGGACUGAGACACGGCCCAGACUCCUACGGGAGGCAGCAGUGGGGAAUAUUGGACAAUGGGCGCAAGCCUGAUCCAGCCAUGCCGCCUGAGUGAUGAAGGCCUUAGGGUUGUAAAGCUCUUUUAUCCGGGACGAUAAUGACGGUACCGGAGGAAUAAGCCCCGGCUAACUUCGUG
rnacentral:rRNA from 1 species